rnacentral:rRNA from 1 species
UACGGAGGGGGCUAGCGUUGUUCGGAAUUACUGGGCGUAAAGCGCACGUAGGCGGACUGUUAAGUCGGGGGUGAAAUCCUGGGGCUCAACCUCAGAAUUGCCUCCGAUACUGGCAGUCUCGAGUGCGGGAGAGGUGAGUGGAAUUCCCAGUGUAGAGGUGAAAUUCGUAGAUAUUGGGAAGAACACCAGUGGCGAAGGCGGCUCACUGGCCCGUAACUGACGCUGAGGUGCGAAAGGCGUGGGGAGCAAACAGGG